rnacentral:rRNA from 1 species
UCACUGGUCGAGUCGGCCUGCGCGGAAGAUGUAACGGGGCUAAACCAUGCACCGAAGCUGCGGCAGCGACACUGUGUGUUGUUGGGUAGGGGAGCGUUCUGUAAGCCUGUGAAGGUGUGCUGUGAGGUAUGCUGGAGGUAUCAGAAGUGCGAAUGCUGACAUAAGUAACGAUAAAGCGGGUGAAAAGCCCGCUCGCCGGAAGACCAAGGGUUCCUGUCCAACGUUAAUCGGGGCAGGGUGAGUCGACCCCUAAGG